GCCACGGUAGCCUAGUGGUCAUGGUUUUGGAUUCGUGAUUCGAUCUUUGGCCGUCAAAGACCCGUCGUGGCG